rnacentral:rRNA from 1 species
GAUGAACGCUGGCGGCGUGCCUAAUACAUGCAAGUCGAGCGAACAGACGAGGAGCUUGCUCCUCUGACGUUAGCGGCGGACGGGUGAGUAACACGUGGAUAACCUACCUAUAAGACUGGGAUAACUUCGGGAAACCGGAGCUAAUACCGGAUAAUAUAUUGAACCGCAUGGUUCAAUAGUGAAAGACGGUUUUGCUGUCACUUAUAGAUGGAUCCGCGCCGCAUUAGCUAGUUGGUAAGGUAACGGGUUACCAAGGCAACGAUGCGUAGCCGACCUGAGAGGGUGAUCGGCCACACUGGAACUGAGACACGGUCCAGACUCCUACGGGAGGCAGCAGUAGGGAAUCGUCCGCAAUGGGCGAAAGCCUGACGGAGCAACGCCGCGUGAGUGAUGAAGGUCUUCGGAUCGUAAAACUCUGUUAUUAGGGAAGAACAAAUGUGUAAGUAACUAUGCACGUCUUGACGGUACCUAAUCAGAAAGCCACGGCUAACUACGUG